rnacentral:tRNA from 3 species
GGAGCCGUGCCUGAAGCAUAGGGUUACUUUGAUAGAGUAAAAAAUGGAGGUUAGAAUCCUCCCGUCUCCU